UACGUAGGGGGCAAGCGUUAUCCGGAUUUACUGGGUGUAAAGGGAGCGUAGACGGCAAUGCAAGUCUGAAGUGAAAUGUAUGGGCUCAACCCAUAGACUGCUUUGGAAACUGUGUGGCUGGAGUGUCGGAGAGGUAAGUGGAAUUCCUAGUGUAGCGGUGAAAUGCGUAGAUAUUAGGAGGAACACCAGUGGCGAAGGCGGCUUACUGGACGAUAACUGACGUUGAGGCUCGAAAGCGUGGGGAGCAAACAGG
rnacentral:rRNA from 1 species